CUAAAAUAAGAAAAAUCGGAAUAAAAUUUUGGCCUAACCCUAACCUGCUGGUACACCCACUACGGGAGUAUCAAAAAUUUUACUGGAUGUUGAGCGAUGUCGGAAAUCACUAUUUAUUUUGCUAUGGGCAUGAAGUUGAUCGAAUCUGCUGGCAGUGAGAUGCAGGCUACUGAGAAAUCUCGGUCUUCCCUUUGUUGUUUUCAGUCUUUCGGAGACUUCGGAACCAUUCGACCAAGAGAAAUUUUUGUCGCUUCCUGAUAAUAUUUAAUGAUCAAUGUGAUCUGGACUCCAAUUUGGAUAGAUAUGAAUAAAGUGAAUGAGGUGGUAUAGUUCUUUUUAGGUGACCACCGUACUACUUUCUUUGGAAACACCUUUAUAUAUACGCUCUGUGCCUUUUACUUAUGGUUUUGUUUGCACUGCGAUUCCGCAGUCAGUUUAAUUGUUUUAUUUUUUAUCAAUUAUUUUAUCGUCUGUUAUGCCGAGUAAGGAGUUUAAAUAAACGUAUUCACUAUCUAGUGGAAUAUUUAUAGAAAACUUCAAGACAGCAAAAGUUCCUCAGUGUGUCAAUCAUUACUAACCGUGUUCAAACAUUAUUAGUCAGCCACAUCGGAUACCGUUGCUCAGUAUGGCUGCCCGAGAACAAAAUGCUCAUCUCAUAUUGGUAGCCGAUAUAUUCCCAUACCCUAUUGGUUUACCCCAGCAUUGCCUUAAAUCAUGUAUACAAGCUAUUCUGCUACCGGUAAUAUCAAGUACGGUACUUAUUACAAUCUGGACUAUACCAAUUUGGCGAAUGAAGUGGUGUAGCCGACCUCUUCAUGCACCUAACUCGAUAAAUUUGGCAAUCUCAACCAUUAUAAAAUUAUUAAUAGGGUGGUUAAUGAGGCGCUUCAAUUAAUAAAUUUGUAUAUGUGCGACACAAAAGUCAAAUCAAAAACAAUAACUCAGUUGUGUGAAAUAGAUAGUUUUUUUUUAUGCGUGGAAGGCUGAGCAGAAACUGAUAUUCAAGAGAAAUCGAAAAAUAAAUCUACAAAAUAUUUACUUUGCAUAAAAACCUAGUGAUACUGAUUAUAAAGUAAAUAUAUACAUGCUAUUACAAAAUUCACAGAACAUUGAAAUGGCAGAGAAAAUACUUCCUACAAGUGAUCCUGAAUUUUUUUAGCAACUUGCACCAAGCCAUUGUACAAAUAUUACAAUUUUUUUUAUUAAUAUAACAUUUCAAAUAGACGAGUAUUACAAGUCAAAGAAUAUUUUUGGACCACAUGAAUAGCAUUUGCUAUUUUAAAAUCAGUGUACGAGCGUGCACAAAAAGUCAAAAACAAUUCGAUGAACAAAAUGCAAUCUUAUCACCAUUCAGUUAUUUUUUUUUGACUUUUCUAGCCAUGCUUGGAGAUAGACUUUUAACAAUUAAUCAUAGCCAUUAUGUAUGAAAUAUUGCUGCUAAUUUAGGAACAUUUCUGCUCUCUCGCCUCAUCGAGGCUGCCGACUUCUCUUUUUGUGAUUAAUUAUCAUUAUUUUCUCCCGAUAAUCUGAUUAUGUAUGGACUAUUGGAGCUCAAAAGAUGCGAAACACUGGUGUCAAACCAGAGUCAGACUCCAUUAGCAAUGAAAUAUAACCAAAAUUAUCUUGUCCAGGACACAACAUGUUAUAAACACUGAUCACAAUAUACACACAGAAGGUGUUAAAAAUAAUCUGCAUCCUUAGUGGAUCAUUGAUUUAUAUAUAUAA